UACAGAGGGUGCGAGCGUUACUCGGAGUUACUGGGCGUAAAGGGCGUGUAGGCGGUUUGUUAAGUGAUAUGUGAAAUCCCUGGGCUUAACCUAGGAACUGCAUGUCAUACUGGCGAGCUAGAGUAUUGUAGAGGGUAGUGGAAUUUCCGGUGUAGCGGUGAAAUGCGUAGAGAUCGGAAGGAACACCAGUGGCGAAGGCGGCUACCUGGACAAAUACUGACGCUGAGGCGCGAAAGCGUGGGGAGCAAACAGG
rnacentral:rRNA from 1 species